UCCCGGUUGCUCCGGGCAGUCUCGCCAGAGAAAUACAACUGACGACAGGGGUUGCGCUCGUUGCGGGACUUAACCCAACACCUCACGGCACGAGCUGACGACGGCCAUGCAGCAUCUGUGACGGUGCCCCGAAGGGAGACCGGCUUUCACCGGCUGUCACCGCCAUGUCAAGCCCUGGUAAGGUUCUUCGCGUCGCUUCGAAUUAAACCACAUGCUCCUCCGCUUGUGCGGGCCCCCGUCAAUUCCUUUGAGUUUCAGCCUUGCGGCCGUACUCCCCAGGUGGAUUACUUAACGAUUUCUCUAAGCCGCUGACUGUGUAUCGCCAACAGCGAGUCAUCAACGUUUACAGUGUGGACUAC
rnacentral:misc_RNA from 1 species